AAAGGAGCCGUGGAACAGGAGUCAUCUGGAAAGCAUUAUCGGUCUGCUUCCAAUGCAAAUAGGGCAGACAAGGGGAGACUGAGGAGGUUCCAUCAGACGUUUGCAAGAAGAUUAAGAAACUUGAGGUGCCAUAUAAAACAGUCUCCUUCAAUUUUUCCAAAACAACAGCCAUGUUCCACUUUUGAGAUGAUUAGGAGCAAUUCUUUGUUCCUGUCCGCACAACCAGAUCCUGUCUCUCCUCAUCCCUUGUUCAUCUGACUUACCCUUGCAGAAGUGUUGGGCUGCACAGUUUCCUGACCCAGAUUGAAGACAUUAAGCCACACAGUGCCCUUCUGCCUCAAAAUAAUAAGUUGUUCUCUGUAAUUUAAUAAUGGAAAUGUAUCUCCAUCUUUCUUUGCAAUCUCUAAUUAGUCCAGUAUUCAGAUUUGUUUAGUUUCACUUUGGCACUUUUUGAAGCCAGCUCAUUACCUUAUGAUUGCUCCUGCCUACCACGGACCAUGUGUCUAAUUCUAAAUUAGUUUAAUCUCAUCUGUUUGAUUACGGAGAGAUUAAUCUCAUCUGUUUGAUUAUUGAAAGGAGCAGAAAGGCAAA